rnacentral:rRNA from 1 species
UACGUAGGGUGCGAGCGUUGUCCGGAAUUAUUGGGCGUAAAGAGCUCGUAGGCGGUCUGUCGCGUCGAUCGUGAAAACUUGGGGCUUAACCCUGAGCUUGCGGUCGAUACGGGCAUGACUGGAGUUCGGCAGGGGAGACUGGAAUUCCUGGUGUAGCGGUGAAAUGCGCAGAUAUCAGGAGGAACACCAAUGGCGAAGGCAGUUCUCUGGUACGUGAUUGACGCUGAGACGCGAAAGCGUGGGGAGCAAACAGG